rnacentral:misc_RNA from 1 species
GGUGACUGUAAAUGCAAAAAGAAAUUCCUCCCCAAACCCGAUUAACUGCUCUCAGUGGAGAAAGAAAUCACAACCUUGGCACCCAGAUAACCUAUAAGUAAAGUUGUGAUCAACUUACCAUGAAAAAUUGACAAAAUUUUAGCACACAUGUCAGAAGAAGAAAAAUUAAAAGGCUAUCAACUUGAAAGUUGAUGCAUCUUUAAUGGGACUUCAGGAGUCAUCAAUCAAAGAGUGCAACUCCCCACGGAAACUAGAAAUUUUGUCUGCCUCAACAGCCAUGACUAACCCCAUUAACCUGUAG